GACGAACGCUGGCGGCGUGCUUAACACAUGCAAGUCGAGCGAUGAAGUUCCUUCGGGGACGGAUUAGCGGCGGACGGGUGAGUAACACGUGGGUAACCUGCCUCAUAGAGGGGAAUAGCCUUCCGAAAGGAAGAUUAAUACCGCAUAAGAUUGUAGUACCGCAUGGUACAGCAAUUAAAGGAGUAAUCCGCUAUGAGAUGGACCCGCGUCGCAUUAGCUAGUUGGUGAGGUAACGGCUCACCAAGGCGACGAUGCGUAGCCGACCUGAGAGGGUGAUCGGCCACAUUGGGACUGAGACACGGCCCAGACUCCUACGGGAGGCAGCAGUGGGGAAUAUUGCACAAUGGGGGAAACCCUGAUGCAGCAACGCCGCGUGAGUGAUGACGGUCUUCGGAUUGUAAAACUCUGUCUUCAGGGACGAUAAUGACGGUACCUGAGGAGGAAGCCACGGCUAACUACGUGCCAGCAGCCGCCGUAAGAC
rnacentral:rRNA from 1 species